CUCUCCGCCCCCCGCCCCCCGCAUCCCUCCCUGGGGUGGCCCCAGGCACCUCCCUCUUCUCCCCGCCCCGCGGUACCAGUCACUUAGUUAAAACCGGUCAACCGUCACUUGGCCGCUCCAGUCCCGCCCCCUCUUGCCCGGUUUCAAAAUGGCCGCCCACACUUCCACAACCUACUUCCGCCUUUCCCGAGACCGGCCGGCCCCACGCGCCUGUCUCCACGGUAACGCUUGUCCCAACCGGCGCCUGCGACUUGGUGGCGCGGUGAGAGCUGGGCUCAAUACCCUGGUGCACGAGGCCUGGGUGGCUGAGGGUGCUAGAGACAAGAGUUUGUGAGAGAGGAAUCUGGAAGGAGAAGCAGUGAGGAGCAGAAGCAGAUCACACAGGCACCUCCUGCAAGGUGAGAACUGACUGCCUUCCCCAGCCAGCUGCUGACUUUAGCAGCAAGGUGGACCACGAAGAGCCAGGAAGCAGGCAAAGAGCUAGACAGCAGAUGUUUUCUGCGCUCCUGGGGGACAAGGUGACCAACCAAAACUUUGCUCAGAUCCCAGUCUUGCACUUCCUGUGUGACCUUGGGCAGGCUAUUUAACCUCUCUGAGCCUCCUUUCCUCCACUGUCACAUGUAGAAAAUGUACCUAAUAGGGUUGCUGAGAAGGUUAAAUAAAUUAUGUAUCAAGAGCUUGGAACAGCACCCUGCACAUAGUAAAUCCUAUGGGUUUUCUAUCACUGUUAUUAAAACAAUCUUGUGUAACUUUUUAGCAUAAUUGGACAAUGGUGAAUUCUCUUUAAAUUUCUCUCAUCUCUUAUGGAUUCUCCCUACCCUCCUGGUUUUCCUACUCCUCUAUGGGUCUCCUUUUUCUGUC